rnacentral:misc_RNA from 1 species
UUAAGUUCAGCGGGUAGUCCUGCCUGAUUUGAGGUCAUAUGACGUUGAAAGAAGGCUUGUCCGAAGACGACUGUAAGCGACCCGGGCCAGCAACGAACGGCGCACUAAGCAUACGUUUAUCACACCGUCGCUUGGACCUGACCAGCUAAUGCAUUUAAAGACGAGCGGGCCUUUCAGGCCGCAGGCGUCCAAAUCCGAGC